UACAGAGGGUGCGAGCGUUGUCCGGAAUCACUGGGCGUAAAGGGCGCGUAGGCGGCUUGAUAAGCGUGCGGUGAAAGCCCGGGGCUCAACCCCGGGUCGGCCGUGCGAACUGUCGAGCUGGAGCACUGUAGAGGCAGGUGGAAUUCCGGGUGUAGCGGUGGAAUGCGUAGAGAUCCGGAAGAACACCGGUGGCGAAGGCGGCCAACUGGACGAAUACUGACGCUGAGACUCGAAAGCGUGGGGAGCAAACAGG
rnacentral:rRNA from 1 species